AGAUGUGAGGGUGAUCUGGCUGUGACAUCUGUCAUCCCACUGAGCACCAGGAUUGAUCUGGCUGAUCUAGCAGGCUAGGCAGGUGCCCCCUUUCUCUCGCACAACUCCGUGUGUGUCCCUCUUGAAGCUGCAUACGCAGUUGAAGAGAACAACCUUUCCUGAUAGACGAGGACCUAGACGAGGAACGUUUCCUCGGUCGAGGAAGCUGCACUCCCCUGCUAGAACCUCCUAACAAGCACUCAGACCACCAUCCUUUAUAUUUUCGUGGGACACGACCCAUACUGCACUCCUAACCCUCACUUGG
ensembl:misc_RNA 7SK 7SK RNA